rnacentral:rRNA from 1 species
AUUGAACGCUGGCGGCAGGCCUAACACAUGCAAGUCGAGCGGAUGAAGGGAGCUUGCUCCUGGAUUCAGCGGCGGACGGGUGAGUAAUGCCUAGGAAUCUGCCUGGUAGUGGGGGAUAACGUCCGGAAACGGGCGCUAAUACCGCAUACGUCCUGAGGGAGAAAUUGGGGGACCUUCGGACCUCACGCUAUCAGAUGAGCCUAAGUCGGAUUAGCUAGUUGGUGGGGUAAAGGCCUACCAAGGCGAAGAUCCGUAACUGGUAUGAGAGGAUGAUCAGUCAGACUGGAACUGAGACACGGUCCAAACUCAUACGGGAGGCAGCAGUGGGGAAGAUUGGACAAUGGGCGAAAGCCUGAUCCAGCCAUGCCGCGUGUGUGAAGAAGGUCUUCGAAUUGUAAAGCACUUUAAGUUGGGAGGAAGGGCAGUAAGUUAAUACCUUGCUGUUUUGACGUUACCAACAGAAUAAGCACCGGCUAACUUCGUG